GUUCUGCGUUGAAAAAGGUAUGGACAUGAAGAUAAUAAUCAUGAGAACACAACCCAUUUUGUGUAAAAUCAAGAUUCAUCAAAACCCAAGGAGAUUCGAUGGCAGAGAAGAGGAGGAAGACGAGAGUCUUUAAUGCUACUCCAAGGAACCUCUCUGAACAUGGCUGUUGUUUGUUUUUGGGUAUGUAAACUGACCUUCCUUACCUUUUCUUUUGAUUUACUCUUGUUUUUAUCAGUCAUUAUCCCCCAUAAACCUCAUCUGCAGAAGCACCAUUAAAUGCACUUGUUUCUGCAUCACCCAACUCAGUCUCCAUUCUGUUGUCUUGUUUUGUUUCUUCUGCUUUGUGUUAGAGAAAAGUUAAGCAUGCUUUUUCGCUGCUAGUUGGUCCG